rnacentral:rRNA from 1 species
UACGUAGGGACCGAGCGUUGUCCGGAAUCAUUGGGCGUAAAGAGCGUGUAGGCGGCCAGGUAGGUCUGCUGUGAAAACUCGAGGCUCAACCUCGAGAUGUCGGCGGAAACCAUCUGGCUAGAGUCCGGAAGAGGAGAGUGGAAUUCCUGGUGUAGCGGUGAAAUGCGCAGAUAUCAGGAAGAACACCCGUGGCGAAGGCGGCUCCCUGGGACGGUACUGACGCUGAGACGCGAAAGCGUGGGGAGCGAACAGG